rnacentral:misc_RNA from 1 species
GUUUUCCGGUUUAUCCCGGAGGGCUUGUAGCUCAGUUGGUUAGAGCGCGCGCUUGAUAAGCGUGAGGUCGGAGGUUCAAGUCCUCCCAGGCCCACCAAUUAUCCAUCCAUAGAAAAGCGCUUAGAAAGUUUGACUGUUAACAGGUCAACGUUGUUUUGUAGGACGCCAAUAUUGUCUUGAAAAAGAGCUUUCUUGUAAAGUUUGAGAAAACUUGUUUAUCGCUUUUUGUAAGAUGUGGUGUUUGUCUGCUUUUAAAGCGAUCGAAACUGAAAGUGUUUCAAAGAUAAGAGUCUUGGAACAGAAGAGUCUUGGAAUAGAAAAGAAUAUAAAGUCUAGGUGGUAUUACAUAGUCUAGAGUUAAAUUGUUCAUGAUUGGAACAUUUCAUAUUGAAAUGCUGCGAUAUAAAGGUUUCGAAUAAAUUAUUCCG